rnacentral:lncRNA from 1 species
AUAAUAACAAAAUCCUAAUUCUAAUAGAAUACUAACAAUGCUCUAAUUAGACCAUAAUAAUGCUAAGCAAGCUUAAUCAAAUUCAAAAAAAUGUCAAAGAAAUUUCAAACAAACAAUAAGAAUUCUUAAAGAAAUAUUAAAAGGAUCACAAAUAUCACUCAAAUACAUCUCAAUUCAAUCUUAAUUUAAUUCUAGUGAAAAUCCUAUUGAACUUCAUUCAAACUUUAGGCCAAAAAUAAUUAAAUCUUAAAUCCUAAUAAAAUCCUAAAUCCUAAAUCGAACCCUAAACAAACCUUAAACCAAAUUCCAAUCAAAUCCUAAAUUCUAAACCAAAUUCUAAUCCCAACCUUAAACCCUAAAUAAAAUCCUAACCAAACCUUAAAUCCUAAUCCUAAACCUUAAAUCCUAAUCCUAAAUUAAACUCUAAUCCAAAUCCUAAAUCCUAACCCUAAAUCAAACACUAAUCCUAACCUUAAAUUAUAAUUCUAAAUCAAACCCCAAUCUAAAUCUUAAACCCUAAAUCCUAAAUUAAAUCCUAAUCCAAAUCUUAAUCAAAUCUUAAACCAAAUCCUAAACCAAAUCCUAACCAAAUCCUAACCAAACU